rnacentral:rRNA from 1 species
CAAUAGCGUAUAUUAACGUUGUUGCAGUUAAAAAGCUCGUAGUUGAAUUUCGGGUCCCCGCGCUCGGCGCUUCAUUGUGCCGUCGUGGUGUCCCUCCUCGCCGUAAGGCGUCCUUUACUGUGAAAAAAUUAGAGUGUUCAAAGCAGGCAAUCGCUUGAAUACAUUAGCAUGGAAUAAUAAGAUAGGAUCUUGUCUAUUUUGUUGGUUGCGGACAACGAUAAUGAUUAAUAGGGAUAGUUGGGGGUGUCCGUAUUGAGCUGUCAGAGGUGAAAUUCUUGGAUUUGCUCAAGACGAACUACUGCGAAAGCAUUCACCAAGGAUGUUUUCAUUAA